GCUUUAUCAAAGGAAGUGUGACCAGCAGGAUGAGGGAGGUGAUUCUGCCCCUUCUGCUCUGCUCUUGUGAGCCCCCACCUGAGGUACAAUGUCCAGUUCUGGUGUCUCCAGCAUAAGAAGGACAUGCAGCUGCACAAGUGGGUCCAGAGGAGGCCAUGAAGAUAAUCAUGGGGCUAGAGGACCUCUCCUAUGGGGACAGGAUGAGAGAGUUGGAGCUGUUCAGCCUGGAGAAAAGAAGGCUCUGGGGAGACCUUAGCUUUCCAGUACCUGAAGGGGGCCUACAAGAAAGCUGAUAAGAUCGCCAGUGGAUCCAGAGGAGGCCCUCCUUUGAGUGCAAAGGCAGUGUCAGAAACCCCACUGUCUUCUCUUUCUGAUGGCAAGGAUAAAUAUGGUGAAGAGGAGGAAAAUGCCUAUGAACCUUCACCUGCUAUUGUACCACAGCUGAAGGAAUAUAGCAACAAAUCUCUACCUGUUAUUGCACCAAGCCCGGAUGAAGAUAACAACAAACUUUUAUGUAUUGCACAAGGGCCUG